rnacentral:rRNA from 1 species
UCAGAGGUGAAAUUCUUGGAUUGCCGGAAGACGAACUAUUGCGAAAGCAUUUGCCAAGGAUGUUUUCAUUGAUCAAGAACGAAGGAAGGGGGAUCGAAAACGAUCAGAUACCGUUGUAGUCUCUUCUGUAAACUAUGCCAAUUGGGGAUUAGCUCAGGAUUUUUAAUGACUGAGUUAGCACCCGAAGAGAAAUCUUUAAAUGAGGUUCGGGGGGGAGUAUGGUCGCAAGGCUGAAACUUAAAGGAAUUGACGGAAGGGCACCACCAGGUGUGGAGCCUGCGGCUUAAUUUGACUCAACACGGGGAAACUCACCAGGUCCAGACACAAUAAGGAUUGACAGAUUGAUAGCUCUUUCUUGAUCUUGUGGUUGGUGGUGCAUGGCCGUUCUUAGUUGGUGGAGUGAUUUGUCUGGUUAAUUCCGAUAACGAACGAGACCUUAACCUGCUAAAUAGACCAGCCGGCUUUGGCUGGCUGCUGUCUUCUUAGAGGGACUAUCAGCGUUUAGCUGAUGGAAGUUUGAGGCAAUAACAGGUCUGUGAUGCCCUUAGAUGUUCUGGGCCGCACGCGCGCUACACUGACAGAGCCAGCGAGUCUACCACCUUGGCCGGAAGGCCUGGGUAAUCUUGUGAAACUCUGUCGUGAUGGGGAUAGAACAUUGCAAUUAUUGUUCUUCAACGAGGAAUACCUAGUAAGCGUGAGUCAUCAGCUCGCGUUGAUUACGUCCCUGCCCUUUGUACACACCGCCCGUCGCUACUACCGAUUGAAUGGCUUAGUGAGGCCUCCAGAUUGGCUAUUGGGAUCUCGCGAGAGAACCUGACUGCUGAAAAGUUGUACGAACUU